GGAGGGAAAGGCUGGAUGCUGGAGGGUGUCGCUUUCCCCCGCACUUGCGUUCUGACGCUCGGCGCGCCCGCUCGCGCCGCUUUCGCGAUACGAUACCGCGCUUCCAUUUACUUAAACUACGUUUGUGUUUUUAAAGGUUUGUUGUGGUUAGCAAAAGUGCACGAACCUGGCUUCGUGUAUUUUAAACUGUGUGUUGAAACUGUGACAAUGGCGGUUUGCCUUAUUUUUGUGUUCUGCAUUCUAUCAAGCGCUUGUGCUUCAAUAUAUGACGACGACUUCGAUUCAUACACAAAAGCCUACGACUAUUUAUCAUCAGAAAGCCGCACGUGUACUUCAUCGGAAUUUAGAUGCAAAACAGGUCGUUGUAUACCAAUGUCAUGGCGUUGCGACAAUGAAAAGGACUGUUCAGAUGGCUCAGACGAAGAACCCGGAACUUGCACCGACCAACGGAAUUGCACAAUAAACAACUUUAUAUGUGCAAGUGGACACUGUAUUCCCGUGUCCUGGCAAUGUGACGACUCACCAGAUUGUCAAGACGGAUCAGACGAACACAACUGUGAAGUGGAGGUUUGCGGUCCAGAGGAAUUCACUUGCAGAGGUACGCAGGGUGAAUGUGUGCCUCUUACGUGGAUGUGCGACGACAACCUCGAUUGCACUGAUGGGUCAGACGAGAAAGCAUGCAAUGAAACAUGUCGUUCUGAUGAGUUUACCUGCGGUAACGGAAAGUGUAUACAGCAGAGAUGGGUUUGUGAUGGUGAUGAUGAUUGUGGUGAUGGAACUGAUGAAGUAAAGUGUCCGGCGCCGACCUGCCAGCCUGUAAGCCACUUCUCCUGUACUGAUGGUCACUGUGUCUCUGCGAGGUGGCGUUGUGAUGGUGACGUAGACUGCCCAGAUGGAAGUGAUGAAAUGGGUUGCGCAUCGACACCCAGAGUGACAUCGCCCUGCAUAGCCACAGAGUUUGAGUGCCGCGACCGCAUGACCUGUGUCCACAAGGCUUGGGUGUGCGACGGUGACCGCGACUGUCCAGAUGGAGGCGACGAGGACCCUUCAAUCUGUAGAGGAAACUACACGUGCCGGCUCGACCAAUUCCAAUGCAAAGAUCACAGCUGUAUUCCCGGAUCGUUGUAUUGUAAUGGCGAUAAGGAUUGCCCUGAUGGAAGCGAUGAAAUUAAUUGCACAAAACCGAAGCCGAUAUGCGACAAAAAGACCGAGUUUGAUUGCGGUGACGGCAUGUGUAUUCCAAUGUCGAAGCUCUGCGACGGCAAACCAGAUUGUCCCAACUUCGAAGACGAGCCACGUGACAGGUGCGGCGAGGACGAGUGUGCGAAGAACAAUGGCGGAUGUCUACAGAAAUGCGUGAACACACCCGUCGGUUACUACUGCGAUUGUGACAAGGGUUACAAGCUAGUCGAUAAUAGGACUUGUGAGGAUGUUGACGAAUGCAUGGACCCCGGCGCUUGUUCUCAAAUGUGCAUAAACGAGAAGGGUACAUUCAAGUGCGAGUGCCACGCGGGCUACGCAAGGGAUCCCAGAGACAGGACCAGAUGCAAGGCUACUGAGGGACACCCAUCGCUGCUCUUCGCUCGGCGUUUUGACAUCAGGAAAAUCAGUUUGGAUCACCAUGAGAUGGUCGCGAUUGUGAAUGACACCAAGUCGGCAACAGCCCUCGAUUACGUGUUCAGAACUGGAAUGAUAUUUUGGAGCGAUGUCACGGAUGAGAAGAUUUAUAAAGCGCCAAUCGACGAAGGCAGCCAACGCACAGUUGUGAUUGGGGACCAGCUGAUAACGUCAGAUGGUCUAGCCGUUGACUGGAUAUACAAUCAUUUGUAUUGGACUGACACCGGGAAGAAUCACAUUGAGCUAUCGGACUUGCAGGGUAACAUGAGGAAGAUACUGAUCAGGGACAGUCUGGAGGAACCCAGGGCAAUUGCUCUUAAUCCGCUUGAUGGAUGGAUGUACUGGACCGACUGGGGCCAAACACCAAAAAUCGAGCGAGCUGGUAUGGAUGGAUCUCAUAGGCAGACAAUUGUGUCAUAUGACGUGAAAUGGCCGAAUGGAUUGACACUCGACUUGGUUCGCAAACGUGUUUAUUGGGUUGACGCAAAACUGAAUACAAUAUCAUCAUGCAACUACGACGGCUCUGCCCGUAGAGUUAUCUUAUACUCGACCGAUGUUCUGCGUCACCCGUUCUCCAUCACAACCUUCGAGGACUGGGUUUAUUGGACCGACUGGGACAAGACAGCAGUCUACCGGGCGAACAAGUUCAAUGGAAAGGAUAUUGAAGCCGUUACAUCGACCCACACGCUCCAAAACCCAAUGGUUAUCCAUGUGUACCAUCCGUAUCGGCAACCGGAUGGAGUCAACCACUGUGCGGCCGUCAACGGACAUUGCUCUCAUCUGUGCCUCCCCGCGCCCCGGAUAGGGCCUAACUCCCCAAAAGUCUCCUGCGCCUGUCCCACAGGACUGCGUCUGCUACCGGACAAUCAGAUGUGUGUUGAAGACAGUGUACCAGAAACUCCUAAGUCUGGUAGUGGAAUCUCAACAAGCGGCCGCGAUGCUGGCGUGGUUGCUGGCAUUGUAGUUGCUGUUAUUACUGGAAUCAUCAUUAUUGCUGCUUUGAUCGCUGUUGUAAUGUACAGGCAUUACGUUCAUCGCAACGUGACUUCCAUGAACUUCGAUAAUCCUGUAUAUCGUAAGACAACUGAGAAUCAAUUCGCACUAGAGCAGAAUGGAUAUGCCCCCGGCAGCAAACUAUACCCGAGUACGGUGGGCGAAGAGGUAAGAGCUCUCACUGCUAUGGAGUGCACACUCAACAUACAAAAUAGCUUAAGAUAAACCAUAAGCCAUAUUAGAAUUUUUUAAUAACACCUGUCUCCUAAAUUUUACUUCCUCUUUAUAGUCGAAAUUUAGGACGGCAAUAAAGUUUCUAUUUAUUUUACUGUAGUGUUGACAACUUUUCUGACUAUUAUUUUGGCCGACUCAAUGGUGCCACGGUCAGAUAAGCUUGUGGCACGUGGUCUUUGGUAUUGUACGAUGAGAAAAACCCCUAAUGAAAUCUUUGUAAAUAUUAAGGACAUUUUAAAGUUUGUGUAUUUAGUAUUAGAACAAUUUAAGAAAUCUAUAGAAAAAACUUAGUAUAAGGGCGAUGUGUUGUGCCAACAUUUUUACCGCAUCAGUAUUAAAAUAUAGUUGCCAAAUGUAGUUGUAAAUAGCUAUGUGAUAGGCUAAUUGUUUUUUAACUGCCUAUCUGUAGAUGUAACUGCCAAAUUUAUUUUUCACGCGUUUCAUUGCGAGGCCUAAUACUGGCCCAAGAACCGCUCAACUCUCCCGGCACAAAUGAGUUCGUAUAGCGUCCGUACUGGCAGCCAAUAUCUUAGUAUAUCGUUAGAUGUGAAAAGAAAAAAACGGACGCGUUAUAUAGUGCAACCAGUGAAUAGUGAAUAGUGCGUGAACAAAGUUCUCUGAGGAAAAUUAUCGUAGGGAAUUGGGAAAGUGGUUGCUAUCGUUAUAUUAGAGUAAUUUAUUGCGUAUUAAUGAAUUGUGCGUUUCAUUGUCAUCCAUUAUUAUAAAUGUGAUAAUUUUAACCGCCUCUGGGAAAUUAUUUGAUGACAUUUUUGUGGUUUAUUUAAUCCCAGGUAUGUUUUUGAUAUUUUGUUUGAUUAGAGAAAAUAUUUGCGCUCAAUUCAUCAUGACAUUACAAUACAUUAAUAUGUAGUGAAAUUCGAAAAGCAUAUUUAUAUAUUUUAUCGAUGGUUCGAAUCUUAAUGUAUUUAAUUUAUAGAAUGUACUUAGAUGGUUAUAAUUUUAUAUCUUGUGCAGCUUUAUACAGCUUAUUUAAAUUUUUUAUAAUCAUUUAAUUUAUUACAAGGAAUUGUUUACUACAGAGAUAUAUUGUAUAUAAUUAUUUGAUGGUUUGGUGAUGUAAACAAAUGUUUCGGCAGCAAAUUCAUAUCACAAUUCUGUUACUAAAGUGAAAUAGUUUUAAGAAAAAAAUUAUUUGUUUACAUUACCAUUUUACCAGAGAUUAUGUAAAAGGCAUAGAUAAUAUAAUGUGCCAAUCCUAAUAAAACCAAAUGUUUUAUAUCUAUUGAGCUUGCUUUCUAUUUUCAAAUUUUACCUAUAAGUAGAUUGUUUAUUUAAAUCGAAAUUUUCUUAUAUCUUUCUAGAAAAUUCCUGCCAAACCUCUUAGUUAUUGUAACUAUUAAUGUAAUUUAAUUACAUGGAAAUCUUGCACAUUUCGUAUUAUACGCCUAGCUCAAUAAGUGUGGUCACUAAAAUAUGUAAAUAAUACCAAUAAAUAUGUAAAAUGUGUUAAAA